rnacentral:lncRNA from 1 species
CAGCCCUGGCUGUUCUUCUUUCACAUUCUCUCUUGAAAGUAGCUGAUGGAGGAAGAGCAUCAGAGGGGACAAGACAUAGCCUUAUCAGAUAUUUAGGGUUGCUGUUUAAUAAUAAGGUGUUUAACUGUCUUAACUUUAAGUCACUUUGCUGGAGUAGCUGAGCUGCCUGUCUGAGUUCUUCUGAGGUCAGAAAACUUGAGUCUUUGGCAUUCAGCACCUCAUAGUAAAGCUGCUAGGGAUUAAAUAAAGUUGUCUUUGUUCUAUAUCCUCAGAAACUGCACAGCUCUGACUCCCAGUCUGCAAGCUGAAGUCGCAGCAAGAAAAAUGGACACUAGAUGCAGAUAUUUGCACCCAAUCAAUGGACAGAAGGAUAUUUCAGCUCUCUGAAAAGAGAGAUGAGAACAAUUGUCCAGGAGCUUCAGAAGGGAAGAAAAUGGAGUUAAGUUGGCAAAGUUGGAUAAAGACACAGUCAACUACAUUUCUCCUAUUCAUUACUUGAUGAACAUCUCAGCUCCUUUUGUUUCCUGAUAUUGUGAGUAAUGAAGCACUGGACAAGGAUGAGCAUACAUCUCCUGUAGUAGGAUCUAGAGAACCUUGGGUCUAUAUGCCUCAGAGUGGGCUCCUGUGAUGGACUUGCCUUUGUGAUGGACUGUGCCCUGGGAAUUAUAUAAUGAAAUAAAAUUUUUGGCUUCCCAAGCUGCUUUUCGUCAUGGUGCUUAUCACAACAAUAAAAAGCGAACUAGGAUAUCUUUGAUCAGAUGUAAAACUGGUGAAGACUUUUCUCUGAGGUUCAGCGAAUUGAGUCUUUAGUUGAGAUCU